ACGGGUGAGUAAUGUCUGGGAAACUGCCUGAUGAGGGGGAUAACUACUGGAAACGGUAGCUAAUACCGCNUAACGUCGCAAGACCAAANAGGGGGACCCUCGGGCCUCUUGCCAUCGGAUGUGCCCAGAUGGGAUUAGCUUGUUGGUGGGGUAACGGCUCACCAAGGCGACGAUCCCUAGCUGGUCUGAGAGGAUGACCAGCCACACUGGAACUGAGACACGGUCCAGACUCCUACGGGAGGCAGCAUG
rnacentral:rRNA from 1 species